rnacentral:snRNA from 1 species
GUAUGUGAGGGCGAUCUGGCUGUGACAUCUGUCACCCCAUUGAUCGCCAGGGUUGAUUCGGCUGAUCUGGCUGGCUAGGCGGGUGUCCCCUUUCUCCCUCACCGCUCCAUGUGCGUCCCUCCCUAAGCUGCUCUCUCGGUCGAAGAGGACGACCUUCCCCGCUAGAGGAGGACUGGUCUUCAGUCAAGGGUAUUCAAGUAGCUGCGCUCCCCUGCUAGAACCUCCAAACAAGCUGAUUUAAAUUGAUGAUUACUAACUAGCACUAAACUUGAAAUACUAGAGAACAUCUAAGCCUAAUUCUAGUUAUAUAUUACAAAUAUAAUUUAUAUAUUUA